ensembl:lncRNA
UCACACAGGUCUAACUGCACUCGCACGAACAGCUCUAACUGCACUCACACAGCUCUAACUGCACUCGCACUAGCAGCUCAUACUGUGCGAUUUUGGCAACAACAUCGGACUCUGUCGUCUUUGCUGUUUCCUUUUUCUCUGCGGCGGUUGUAAACACUUCCUGUUCCAGCGCGGUUUCAUGUUCGCUUAGAUUAAAGUUUUGAAACUUUGGGACUACGUUGUUUACAUCGGUUUGAUCCUUAAACAAGACUUGGGUGAAGAAUUUCUGUUGGGAAUCCUCGACUUCACGCUGUCUGGAAGCUUCGCUCGAAGCAAAGUUAACGGAAAUGAGCUUCUUAUUUAUCACAUGUACAACAGUGCUGUUUUAGUGAACAUCAACGCACCUGCGGUUCGGCUGUAUAGGCAGGAGGCGGCAGGUAAUCAUAAUUGAGUGUUUUCUUGCAAGAGUUCUUUAACCAAGAGAUUCAUAUCGAGUCACUGACAUUUCAGACACAGUAGUUUCCAAAGAAGCCACGGAAUAAGUGUAGCGACGGUUUCGAUAAUAAUGAACAGGUGCUAGAAUUGUAAUUUUAUGUAGAACACAGACAAGUGGAGUUAUACAAGCGGUGAAAUGGGCCAGUGCAGUUAUACUAAAUAUCAGCACUCUUGUAUGGAUGCUUGCGCCAUCAAUUUACUGCAGUAAGAACCACACGGCAUACGUUUUAACUGUUUAUAGUCGUAUUUAAUGUUGUGGAUCAUCCAUGAAACAAUCUAGUUCUUGUUAUCAUUUAAGUUAUAGCAGAUAUAAAUAGCCAUAACAUCACCAGCCUCUCUU